rnacentral:rRNA from 1 species
CAAGUCGGACGGGAUUCGGGUGCUUGCACCUGAUGAGAGUGGCGCACGGGUGCGUAACACGUAUGUAACCUACCUUGAUCAGGGGGAUAGCCUCUCGAAAGAGAGAUUAAGACCGCAUAACAUUAUGAUAUGGCAUCGUAUUAUAAUCAAAUAUUUAUAGGAUCAAGAUGGGCAUGCGCAACAUUAGCUAGUUGGUGUGGUAACGGCAUACCAAGGCGACGAUGUUUAGGGGAUCUGAGAGGAUGACCCCCCACACUGGUACUGAGACACGGACCAGACUCCUACGGGAGGCAGCAGUAAGGAAUAUUGGUCAAUGGACGGAAGUCUGAACCAGCCAUGCCGCGUGCAGGAAGACGGCCCUACGGGUUGUAAACUGCUUUUGCAGGGGAAUAAACCCCGGUUCGUGAACCGGGUUGAAUGUACCUUGAGAAUAAGGAUCGGCUAACUCCGUGCCAGCAGCCGCGGUAAUACGGAGGAUCCAAGCGUUAUCCGGAUUUAUUGGGUUUAAAGGGUGCGUAGGCGGCUUUUUAAGUCAGGGGUGAAAGACGGUAGCUCAACUAUCGCAGUGCCCUUGAUACUGAAGAGCUUGAAUGUACUUGAGGUAGGCGGAAUGUGACAAGUAGCGGUGAAAUGCAUAGAUAUGUCACAGAACACCAAUUGCGAAGGCAGCUUACUAAAGUAUGAUUGACGCUGAGGCACGAAAGCGUGGGGAUCAAACAGGAUUAGAUACCCUGGUAGUCCACGCCCUAAACGAUGAACACUCGAUGUUGGCGAUAUACGGUCAGCGUCUAAGCGAAAGCGUUAAGUGUUCCACCUGGGGAGUACGCCCGCAAGGGUGAAACUCAAAGGAAUUGACGGGGCCCC